rnacentral:rRNA from 1 species
UACGAAGGGGGCUAGCGUUGCUCGGAAUCACUGGGCGUAAAGGGUGCGUAGGCGGGUCUUUAAGUCAGGGGUGAAAUCCUGGAGCUCAACUCCAGAACUGCCUUUGAUACUGAAGAUCUUGAGUUCGGGAGAGGUGAGUGGAACUGCGAGUGUAGAGGUGAAAUUCGUAGAUAUUCGCAAGAACACCAGUGGCGAAGGCGGCUCACUGGUCCGGUACUGACGCUGAGGUGCGAAAGCGUGGGGAGCAACAG